rnacentral:rRNA from 1 species
UACGGGGGGAGCAAGCGUUGUUCGGAUUUACUGGGCGUAAAGGGCGCGUAGGCGGCGCAACAAGUCACUUGUGAAAUCUCCGGGCUUAACCCGGAGCGGCCAAGUGAUACUGUCGUGCUAGAGUGCGGAAGGGGCUACUGGAAUUCUCGGUGGUAGGCGGUGAAAUGCGUAGAUAUCGAGAGGAACACCGGUGGCGAAGGCGGUUCUCUGGGCCGUUAACCUGGACGCUGAGGAGCCGAAAGCGUGGGGAGCGAACGGA